AUAUCAAUAAGCGGAGGAAAAGAAACCAACAGGGAUUGCCCCAGUAACGGCGAGUGAAGCGGCAACAGCUCAAAUUUGAAAUCUGGCCCCUUCGGGGUCCGAGUUGUAAUUUGCAGAGGAUGCUUCGGCCUAGGCCCCGGGAUAGGUCCCCUGGAACGGGGCGCCACAGAGGGUGAGAGCCCCGUACUCGCCCGGUCGGCCUUUGCCGCGUGAAGCUCCUUCGAAGAGUCGAGUUGUUUGGGAAUGCAGCUCUAAACGGGAGGUAAAUUCCUUCUAAAGCUAAAUACCGGCCAGAGACCGAUAGCGCACAAGUAGAGUGAUCGAAAGAUGAAAAGCACUUUGGAAAGAGAGUUAAAAAGCACGUGAAAUUGUUGAAAGGGAAGCUCUUGCUGCCAGACUUGCCCCGGUUGUUCAGCCGCCCUACUGGGCGGUGCACUCUCCCGGCGGCAGGCCAGCGUCAGUUCGGGCGGCCGGAUAAAGGCCCCGGGAAUGUAGCCCCCCCGCGGGGGGGUGUUAUAGCCCGAGGCGCAAUGCGGCCAGCCCGGUCUGAGGAACGCGUUCGCGAGGACGCUGGCGUAAUGGCCGCAAGCGACCCGUCUUGAAACACGGACCAAGGAGUCUAACAUCUGUGCGAGUGUUUGGGCGUCAAACCCAUGCGCGCAAUUAAAGUGAACGGAGGUUGGAACCCCCCCGAGGGGCGCACAAUCGACCGAUCCUGAUGUCUUCGGAUGGAUUUGAGUAGGAGCAUAGCUGUUAGGACCCGAAAGAUGGUGAACUAUACCUGGACAGGGCGAAGCCAGAGGAAACUCUGGUGGAGGCUCGCAGCGGUUCUGACGUGCAAAUCGAUCGUCAAAUCUUGGUAUAGGGGCGAAAGACUAAUCGAACCAU
rnacentral:rRNA from 1 species